GUCUACAGCCAUGUCACCCUGAACGUGCCCAGUCACGUCUGAUCUCAGAAGCUAAGCAGGGUCGGACCUGGUUAAUACUUGGAUGGGAGACCACCUAGGAAGACAAGGUGCCGUAGGUG
rnacentral:rRNA from 1 species